rnacentral:rRNA from 1 species
CAGCAGCCGCGGUAAUACGGAGGGGGCUAGCGUUGUUCGGAAUUACUGGGCGUAAAGCGCACGUAGGCGGCUUGGUAAGUUAGAGGUGAAAGCCCAGGGCUCAACCCUGGAAUUGCCUUUAAGACUGCCGAGCUAGUAGGUGAGAGAGGUAAGUGGAAUUCCGAGUGUAGAGGUGAAAUUCGUAGAUAUUCGGAAGAACACCAGUGGCGAAGGCGGCUCACUGGCUCAUACUGGACGCUGAGGUGCGAAAGCGUGGGGAGCAAACAGGAUUAGAUACCCGCGUAGUCCCUGUCUCUUAUAC